rnacentral:misc_RNA from 1 species
UGACAAUAUCUUAAUCUCACAGAACCCAUUACAGAUCCCCAAAAUUACCACCUCUGUGAGAACUAUAUAUGAUUAAAUUAAUUAAAGACAACUUAGUGAAAAUUGCAUUGUUGUAAUAAAGGAUGACUAUAAUCAACAUAUUUGUCCCAGAGUGGCUUGUACUUCUCAAUACCGAUCUUCAACCAGGGUUUUGAGUUACCAUUGAAGUGCAGCACAGCUCCCUUUUCUAUCAAUUUGGAGUCGACAUUCGUAUAACCAAAACCUAAGACAUGCCAUGAAGGAUUCAAAGCCUCUGUCAAUCCAUAGAAGGUCAGCAAUCCAGGUGGUAAAGUACCAAGCUUCCACAAUGUGCGGUCCACGUUCUUGUCCUGCCAGUAAUGGUAUAUGCCAGUAACAUUCCUUUUGCGCCACUCAACCAAAUCGAAAACAUUCAUCCCGAAGGCCCACCCACAUGCAUCAGGAUCAAAAUGUUGACGAAUAAGCGGGUGAGAAUAAUUUAGGUACUUGUGAUAUCUAUGGAAUGUCUCCAUACAAGUCUCCACUGCACCAUUUA